AGGCAUUUGGAGCAAACUUUGACAUACCUUUAGAAAAUUAAAUGACAACCAUCCAUCUAAUGUGAAUUGAGCAUUUGCCGUAUGCAAAGCACCAUGCUGAGGUCCUGGAGAAUUCAGCCAGGGCUCACCCUUACCUUUAAGGAGCCGACAGUUUGCUCAGAGGGAGACAAGAAGGAAGAAAGCACAGCAUGGAGUGUCUUUUCAAAGACUAAAAUAAAAAUCCCCCUAAAAGGGAUCCUUCUUGUAAAACCUUCCAGAGCUGUUGGAAAGAAAAAAAAAAUGCAUAAAGAGCCAAGUGCUUAUAUUCUGGCCAAGUUAUGAGCCUCUGAGAACAAGAGCUCGAGGGGAGGACUGUUAACCCCAUCUAGCCCGCACAAGUAGCUUUUUUCUUCUUGCUCUGCACUGCUUGCAAACUUGUGGUCCUCUCACAGCUAGAGGCCAGCGUGCUGGAGAAAUCCAGGAAUCCGCAACACAAGGAUGACAGCCUCAGUCUGAAAGACUCCCUGGUGCCAACCUCCAGAUUCUCGUCUGUCGCUUCAGACUACGACUAGUUGACAGAGCAGCAAAAUUUCGACUCCAAUAGCCUCGAAUGUGCUUCUGGGCAAAGAGGCAGAGCUGACGAGGGAAGGGAUUUAUUUAAAGAGUUUCUCUUGGGUAUUUGUCAAACUUAUUUCCUGGCUGUGUACAAAGAGGGGAUUCAAGUUCAACCUUCUUCUGAGGCUCUGGGUCCAGCCACUUAACCGGAAGGUGCAGGAAGCAUGAAGGCCGUGAUUUUUGUCCUAUCUGUCUUGGGAACAGCAGCUGCAAUCCCGGUAAAUU